GACGAACCGUGCGAACGUUGUUCGGAAUCACUGGGCUUAAAGGGCGCGUAGGCGGGUGUGCAAGUCUGUGGUGAAAGCCUCCAGCUUAACCGGGGAAGUGCCAUGGAUACUGCGAGUCUGGAGGAGGGUAGGGGCAUCUGGAACGCUGGGUGGAGCGGUGAAAUGCGUUGAUAUCCAGCGGAACUCCGGUGGCGAAGGCGAGGUGCUGGACCCUUUCUGACGCUGAUGCGCGAAAGCCAGGGGAGCAAACGGG
rnacentral:rRNA from 1 species